AACGAACGCUGGCGGCAGGCCUAACACAUGCAAGUCGAGCGGACCUUUCGGGGUCAGCGGCGGACGGGUGAGUAACGCGUGGGAAUAUGCCCUUCUCUACGGAAUAGUCCUGGGAAACUGGGGGUAAUACCGUAUACGCCCUUUGGGGGAAAGAUUUAUCGGGGAAGGAUUAGCCCGCGUUGGAUUAGGUAGUUGGUGGGGUAAUGGCCUACCAAGCCGACGAUCCAUAGCUGGUUUGAGAGGAUGAUCAGCCACACUGGGACUGAGACACGGCCCAGACUCCUACGGGAGGCAGCAGUGGGGAAUCUUAGACAAUGGGGGCAACCCUGAUCUAGCCAUGCCGCGUGAGUGAUGAAGGCCUUAGGGUUGUAAAGCUCUUUCAGCGGGGAAGAUAAGGACGGUACCAGCAGAAGAAACCCCGGCUAACUCCGU
rnacentral:rRNA from 1 species